GCCCGUUCCUGUAGUGAUGGAGAAGAACGUACCAUCCAGUUCUGCGGGACAGCAGUACGUAAAAGAUAACGCCUGACUUUGGUUUUCCCGCUCCAAAAUAGUCUGCUGCUUCACUGGGUGAAGCGCACCUUCAUAAAUACGAAUGCAAACAGUCUGGAGGCCUGGCUUAGAAAGUAUUUGAUGGUCAGUGGAAAAAAAUGAGGAAGAGGAGGGUGUGGCUGCUGCUUAGAGGAUCUGGCCCUGCAAACAGGCACUAGCUUGUGGAGAUGCGGUCCUUCAUCAUGACAAAAUGAAGACUUC